CCCCAAACAUGCGUCUUCUGCUCUCUUCUCUCCCCACCGGGGCCCAUCCUGUACGGGCUCUUGCUCCACACCUGCCAUCAGCUACUUGGUGAUGACUCACGCAGGAGCUGGGCUGACGCUGUGCAGGGCUCUGGAUGGACAGGGUAGCCCAGGGCUGGACCAGCUGCCGAGAGGAGUCCCCUCUGCCGUCUGCCCACUCAACAAUAAGACUGGCUCCGACCGCCUCCUCCGUUGCACCCGGAACUCAUCUGGGCUCCAGCCUGAGGGAGUCAGGCCCGUCUCAUUCUCCAGGUGACAGUGACAGCCAGCGAUGGGCAGGCAGCUUACUCCCAGCCUGGCCUGAGUCUGUGGUCCCAGCGUAAGGUUACCGCAGUCUCCCCAGGCUGACCUGGGCUGCUGAUCACGUGCUCCUAAUGGGCCUCGGAUUGACAUUCACAGCAACCUGGCCUCCAUAGCAACCAGCUGUGACAUCUCAAAGAACCCACGGAGCGGAGGAAGCUUAAAUGCCUGUUUGGGGAAGACAGCCUUUGGUCCCUCUCCUUAGCCCCCCCCCACCGUGAUAGGCGAAGAGGGCCUAGAAACGCUGAGAGCGCCACGGCCUCCGCAUCUCUGGAGGUUUGAGUGGGGUCUCCUGGAAAUCCUUCCCUUCCUCUCUUUGUCUCCUUUCUCCUCAUCCUGCAAAAAAUAUGUAUCUCAGAUUCCUCAACUGUAAAACGGGGAUAUUAGAAGCCGCUCUUAAUUGAGUGUUUAUGCUGUGCCAGGCACUAUGACAAGCAUCUUGCAUGGAUUUUCUCGUUUCCUUCAUGACAACCCUAUAAAGUACUUUCCUGUUAGUAUUCCCCCUCUGUAAGCGGAGGGAAAGGAAGCACAGCAGAAGGGCUGGAAUUAAGACAGCCUGGCUCCAGAGCCCGUUUUCAUAACUGUGAGAGAAUGCACCAGAUUCCUUCUGAACGCCGCCUGCCACGUGCGCGGCUACAACUCUAUUUCCAGCCACGCUGUGGCAAGUGGUUCCGGGCGGCUCCAGCUCCCUGUGCACCACCAGCACCUGGCCUCCUGUCAGCAGGCGGCGGUUUUCAUUUUCUGCCCAGGGGCUUCCGCAGCGCCCCAACACGAGGCUGGCAGGAGCGGGCACAGCGGGAGGAUUUAUGGAGGGAAGUUGCUUCCAUGGAGCCAGCCUCAACCCUGGGUGCACAGGCGCCACUGGGUGAAUGCUUCUGCCAGGCCAUCAUCUGGCCCAUUCGGUCCCUCUAUGCACUGCUUGGAACGUACUGGCAGCGCUGAGCCCCAGUCAUCCGUGGCAGUGACCUAAUAAUGCACCGUUAUAUUGGCUCUUCUGCUUUCUCUUUCUUUCCUUUUUUUUUUUAAGGAGUA